rnacentral:rRNA from 1 species
AUUGAACGCUGGCGGCAGGCCUAACACAUGCAAGUCGAACGAGUGGCGGACGGGUGAGUACUGUCUGGGAAACUGCCUGAUGGAGGGGGAUAACUACUGGAAACGGUAGCUAAUACCGCAUACCAUCAGAUGUGGCCAUAUGGUAUUAGCUAGGUGGUGGGGUAACGUCUCACCAAGGCGACGAUCCCUAGCUGGUCUGAGAGGAUGACCAUCCACACGGGAACUGAGACACGGUCCAGACUCCUACGGGAGGCAGCAGUGGGGAAUAUUGCACAAUGGGCGCAAGCCUGAUGCAGCCAUGCCGCGUGGAUGAAGAAGGCCUUCGGGUUGUAAAGUACUUUCAGCGGGGAGGCGUUAGCCGCAGAAGAAGCACCGGCUAACUCCGUGCCAGCAGCCGCGGUAAUUG